rnacentral:rRNA from 1 species
CCUACGGGAGUCUGCAGUGGGGAAUAUUGCACAAUGGGGGAAACCCUGAUGCAGCGACGCCGCGUGAGUGAAGAAGUAUUUCGGUACGUAAAGCUCUUUCAGCCGGGAAGAAAAUGACGGUACCUGACUAUGAACCCCCGGACAACUACAUACCAACAAGCGCGGCAAUACGCAGGGGGCAAGCGUUAUCCGGAUUUACUGGGCGUAAAGGGAGCGUAGACGGAAGCGCAAGUCUGGAGUGAAAUCCCAUGGGUUACCCAUGGACCUGCUUUGGAAACUGUGUAGCUAGAGUGCAGGAGAGGUAUGCGGAAUUCCUAGUGUAGCGGUGAAAUGCGUAGAUAUUAGGAGGAACACCGAUGGCGAAGGCAGCAUACUGG